UGGAUAUCUUUGCAAUUUCCAUGAAUCCAUCGCUUGCAUCAUGCAAGGCUAAAAUAAUUGAACCAACACGAGCAAAUCUAAAUAUGUAAGACAUCACAAUGAGAAUGAUCGAUGCCACAUGAUGAGCCAUUGAAAUCAAAAAGUCUGAACGUCUUGUUUCCCAGAAAACCAAAGCAAAUAUGGAGUACGUGUAGAAUCCAGCAACAUACAUGUAAAGUCCCUUCAAUUUCAAUUUAAGUUUCUGAUCAGGCCAAAUUUGAUCUGCAGGUCCCACCCAAAAAUACUUAGUAUUAGUGAACCAGGGCUCACGAUAUGAGACAUAAAGAGCAAAAAGCUCUGCAGAAAGAAAAUAAACAUAUUUCCAAGCUGACUCCUUGAAUUUAUUAAUUUUCUUCCUAUUUGCACGUUUCCCAACAUCCACCGAUGCAUAUGAGUUCCCAAAAAUCAAUCUUUUGGCUAAACUCUCAAAAAUGUACUUGUCAAGGAAAAGCCUAACAGAAAGAAAGAA
rnacentral:misc_RNA from 1 species